rnacentral:lncRNA from 1 species
AUUCGAGGCUCCAAAAGCACUUGUAUGUUUACAGUCUCUAGAUCUUUCUCUCUGCCGUUACCACUAGGAGCGCCAACCUCAUCUGCGGACCCCAGAGAUGGAUGAGAGGUGCGUGGAGCGGGCCUGGCUCACUCCGGAGUGGUCCAGGCUGUCCUAGAUCCAGCAGCCCCAGCAAUGAGAGCCAGCCCGGCCACAGCUACUGCAGCCCGGAGAGGCUUGUUUCAGCCUUUCCCUCCCUGCUCCUUCGGUCAUAACCUGGACCGUUGAGAAGUUGAAGCAGAUGCUCUCCUGCAAAGAUUCUGGACGCUACCCACAACUCAUUAUCAGUAGACGUAUCAGAGACAUCACACCUGGACAGGUCCCAUUCUCUACAAGGUAUGUGUGGAGGCACAGGGGAACCUGGGCUCUGUUGAGUUAGAGCCCAACCUGCAGGGCGACGUGCCACCCGCCUCCAACUCGAGAUGAGCCCGGAUAAAACUUGUGGGGUGCUUCCUUCUAGAUUCACAAAAACAUGGCCUUUGGUAAUUAAUCCUGGUGACACCAACACAGGGAUCCCGCCUGCCCUGCAUUCUUAGCCCCCACGGUGGAGCCUGUCUCAUCCUUUAGUGUCGAAGAAAAGUCUCCCUUUAAACAGGGAGUUGGAAGACUUGCUAAAGUGCUGUUUCUACAGAUAUUUUACUACCAUCAUGCGUAGUGAGACUAUGAAAAAGAGAAUCACGGCUGGCGUAAGAGAAGCUCAGAGUGCAGGGUUUCCUCACUUAUUUUUUGACAAGGUCUGAUUUUACCUUUGUAUGAGAUUUACUACUAGAAUUUGGGCUUCCCUAGUGGCUCAGAUGGCAGAGAAUCUGCUUGCAAGGCAGGAGAAUGCUCCCCAGUCACACCUCUGGGAGC